GGUAGUGUGGCCGAGCGGUCUAAGGC
rnacentral:piRNA from 6 species